rfam:Achromatium sp. WMS3 contig-199_726, whole genome shotgun sequence.
UUUUGAGUAGCUUAAUAGGUAAAGCAAUUGCCGUCGAUGCUUUAGAUAUGGGUUCAACUCCCAUCUCGAAAU